GCAGUCGAGGCCGAGUGGUUAAGGCGAUGGACCGGAAAUCCGUUGGGGUCUCCCCGCACAGGUUCGAAUCCUGUCGACUGCG
rnacentral:tRNA from 2 species